CAGCCGCCGCGGUAAUUCGUAGGGUGCAAGCGUUAAUCGGAAUUACUGGGCGUAAAGCGUGCGCAGGCGGUUAUGCAAGACAGAUGUGAAAUCCCCGGGCUCAACCUGGGAACUGCAUUUGUGACUGUAUAGCUAGAGUACGGUAGAGGGGGAUGGAAUUCCGCGUGUAGCAGUGAAAUGCGUAGAUAUGUGGAAGAACACCGAUGGCGAAGGCAGCCCCCUGGGAUGAGACUGACGCUCAUGCACGAAAGCGUGGGGAGCAAACAGGAUUAGAUACCCUGGUAGUCCACGCCCUAAACGAUGUCUACUAGUUGUCGGAGGGUAACUCCUUCGGUAACGCAGCUAACGCGUGAAGUAGACCGCCUGGGGAGUACGGUCGCAAGAUUAAAACUUAAAGGAAUUGACGG
rnacentral:rRNA from 1 species